rnacentral:rRNA from 1 species
AAAUUGAAGAGUUUGAUCAUGGCUCAGAUUGAACGCUGGCGGCAGGCCUAACACAUGCAAGUCGAACGGUAGCACAGAGAGCUUGCUCUCGGGUGACGAGUGGCGGACGGGUGAGUAAUGUCUGGGAAACUGCCUGAUGGAGGGGGAUAACUACUGGAAACGGUGGCUAAUACCGCAUAACGUCGCAAGACCAAAGAGGGGGACCUUCGGGCCUCUUGCCAUCAGAUGUGCCCAGAUGGGAUUAGCUAGUUGGUGAGGUAACGGCUCACCAAGGCGACGAUCCCUAGCUGGUCUGAGAGGAUGACCAGCCACACUGGAACUGAGACACGGUCCAGACUCCUACGGGAGGCAGCAGUGGGGAAUAUUGCACAAUGGGCGCAAGCCUGAUGCAGCCAUGCCGCGUGUAUGAAGAAGGCCUUCGGGUUGUAAAGUACUUUCAGCG